rnacentral:rRNA from 1 species
CGCGUAGGCGGCUGCGCAAGUCGGUUGUGAAAUUCCGGGGCUCAACCCCGGAACUGCGUCCGAUACUGCGUGGCUAGAGGUAGGUAGGGGAGAUCGGAAUUCCUGGUGUAGCGGUGAAAUGCGCAGAUAUCAGGAGGAACACCGGUGGCGAAGGCGGAUCUCUGGGCCUUACCUGACGCUCAGGCGCGAAAAGUGGAGGGCGAC